CCGUAUCCGAAGGAAGAGUCAAAGAUCGUUUUGCCAAUCCAAGUUUGUAUGUGAAGUAAUCACCAUCGAAAUUCCAUCCUCACUUCCGCUGACAGUGGGAUCCAGUGGUCGUAUGAGUGACCGGUGCGUACGUAUCUCACCAUCAGUCGUAGUGGGCCAGGGAAUAACGCUUGUAUGGAGGGGGAGAGGAAUCUCACAAUCCGACAGCUAUCCUUAUAGAGGCGCUCUUUGCCGUAGACGGACGCGGAACUUAGUUCUCCAAGCCGAUGUCGAAACCGAGGAACUGGCCCGAUUCAUAUGGAGAAGCGAUCUUUGUCUGUGUACAACAAAAAAACCCAUGGAGUCCCGAAAGUGAACGACAAAAUUUGUCUGCAAACGUAGCCUGGAUUCGUAAAGAAUCAGCAAGUCUUCCAGGUAUACGAGGCAUCGCACGCCCAAAUUUACGGAUGUGUGCCCUCACUGGUUACAGUAGGUUCGCGAGCACCACGGAGUCGUAAACUGCCGUGUUUGUCCUCACCAUUGGAAUCGGAGGCAAACUUCGGCAGUCCAGGGCAACGGGUACUGACAAGCGUGCGUCCUUGAGGUCCAGAUGUGUAAACCAGUCGUUAUCGCCUAGGAGGUCUUGUAGAAGACGAAUUUCCUCCAUCUUGCAGCAUUUGUAUACCAUGUAG